AAUUAUCUUACUUCAUGUAUGGUAUGCCAACUGUUCGAUAAAGGUCCUUUUAGAAAUCUUCUAUUGAUUACCUUGCGAAGACCACAAAACUAGACACACCCAAAAGCAUUCUUGCAUAGUUUAUACAUAGAGAUGGCCGAUUGAUGAUCGUCUUAUUUGUAGACUUAACGCGAGCAGACUCGAUCGCUUAGUCCUUAUUGAUUUACGACACACAUGCUCACACACACACAUACACACAUCACAAAAUCACACAAAUUGACGGAUAAUGUUGCCGUUCAGCUCCUUCCUGAACCUCACCGCGGCAUUUUUCUGCACCAUAGUGGCCGUGAAAUACCACGAGACGAUGUCAUGGACGGCGACGUGUUGUCCGGUGGCGGCGGAUAGCCCGACCUGAACCUGCUGAGGAACAAAGUCGCUCAAAUCGUACUCAUAGUUGACAUCAAAUGUCUGCGAGCCGGCGGUGACUUUCACGGAGAUCAUCCUUGUGGCUCCGACGUAGUUGAUCCGCGCAGUCACCUGCUGCCCGAGUAUGGAGUUGUCGACCUUCGUCGUGUUGCUGGAUGCCCUAGAGCCGAAGUCGAUGCCGAUGUGGGGAUAGAGCGGAUCCCACGCGCCGUUGACGUAGGUGUCGAUUUCGACGGCGAAGACCGAGGGGCUGUUGCCGUUGGAGCCAAAGAUUCCGAGGUUGGCUCCGUUGGAGCCAGGGGGGAUGGUGGAACCGACGGGGGCAAUGAAGAAGGCGAGGCCGUCGGCAGGCUCGUUGUCGGCGCCCGGGGUGAUGAUGAAGUUCACAGUGGUUUCGAAGUCGACCUGCCCACCGGACUGCGAGAAUUGGACCGGGUUCGAGUGCAAGACGCGGCCGACUUGUGAGGGCUGUGCGUCUGUGAGGCGGAGGAAGGUGGAGUCCGUCGGGAAAUGGGCGCUGCCUUGAUAGAUGAGAUCUUUCGGCUGGUCGCCCCAGAAGUCGUAGGUGAAGGACGUCGUUUGGGACAACGCCGUGUUGGAAACGGCGAGGAGGAGGGCGAUGGAGGCGAGGAGAGGAGUUAAGGUUUGAACAAGCUGGUUGGCCAUGGCUUAAUUGAUUUAGAUUUAGAUUUAGAGAUGUGGUGGAUGAUGGUGGCCAGGUAUCGAUCUCUUGCACCUAUUUAUACUAGUAUGGUUCAUGCCUGUUAAUAAUUGUAUAUAUCAAUCAAUCAUCGUGCAUCUAUCCCAAAUUAUAUGUCUUAUUAUUCACUAAUUAGAUGGAAUAAAUCCUAAUUAGCAAUCUUAAAAUUACACCGCCAAUGAGGCCUUGCUCUAGUGGUAAAGCUGUGGCACCGAAUAACUUUUCUUUGUGAAAGGUCUUGGGUUCAAUCUCGCCUGCAUGCGGUGAUGUUUGUCCAUUUUAGAUGGUGUGGUAUUCUUGCCUGCGUGCGGUGUUGUAUUAUUUAGUCUUAGGCGUUCUUGCCUGUGUGCAUAUCACUGUGUGACAAUUAAAAGAAUGACUUUAAAAUAAAAGUUAAGCCUUAAAAAUUUAAUCUACAUUCAUAUAUAACUGAAAUUACAUGCAUGUCUAAUUUUUUUAAUAUCAUAACAAGAUAAGAUUUAUUAAAUAAUUCAGAUGCAUAAAUAAAAAGUUAAUCUAUAAACACAGUAUAGAUAUAUUAUCAAUGAUAGGCCGUGUAUAAGUCUUAAUCUGUAAAACUAUAUCAUCCCAGCCUUAAACGACUACCAUUCCUGCUUUCCCAGAGCAACCACACUGUUCCCACCCACAAAGCUUUAAGCAGUACAUGCAUGUCUAAAUAUUAUUUAUAAUUAUCAAUAACAAGAUUAAUGAUUCUAUAUCUCUAUGUUUAUACAUAUAUUCACGUAUGACAUAGUAUAUAUUAGCUAUUAAGUUAAAAACUAAUAAAAUACUACAGUUUUGCAUAGGAUAUAUAUUUAAUUAGUAGUAGGAUAGGACACGUGUAUUAAUUUUAAGGGCAAGUAAUCAAACUUUUGAAUGAUUCAUCAUGCUUAAAAAAAAAAAGAGACCUAGAUAGAUGAUUCAUCAGAUUCAAAAACAAGUAUAAAUAGACUUCGAGUUUGAAAUUUUAAUUAAUUUGCAACAACAAUUCAAACUGACUGUAUUAAGGUAAGUAGUUACAGAUUUCAUACACAUUAUAUGAUUUCGCGCACAUACGUAUGUAUAUAUAAAUAUUUUUUAAAAUCAUAUACUCCCUCCGUCCCCAAAAUAAGUUCCUCUUUGGGGACGGCACGGAUUUUAAGGAAAAGUGGUAAAGUGUAUUAAUAGUGGAGAAAAAUAUGUUAUAAUUAGUAUUGGAAGUUGUGAAAAGGUGAAAAAGUGUUAUAAUUAGUAUUGGGAGUGGUGAAAAAGUGAAAAGUAAGAAUAAAUAAAGUAUUAUUAGUGGUGGGGUAGUUGUCCAAAAAUGGAAAAAAAGAAAGAGGAACUUAUUUGGGGGACAUCCCAAAAUGGAAAAAGAGGAACUUAUUUCAGGGACGGAGGGAGUAUUAUAUAAUAAUUAUAUUUAAGUUUUAUAUUAUUCUUUAUAAACUAUUGUUCCAUUCUAUAUAAUUAGGUGUGGCACGACUAGGACGUAACUUUCGAUUGAAUUUCUCAAGUUAAUUUUCAAGUUCAAGUUUCAGGUGUGAGAUUUAUUUAAAUACAUGUCAUGAUUAUUCAUUGUCCAUUUUAAUAGUAUGUGUUUACCAUAUGUGUUAUGACGCAUAUUUUGAGGACAUCGCUAGGAGCCCAUAAAUAGGGUCCAGGACUUCACCGUCCUUGGAUUGCCACAAUGCGAUUUGAGGUUUAUUUUGAGGAUGUCGUCAGGGGCCCGUAAAUAGGGUCCAGGACUUUAAUAGUCAUUGGGUUGCCACAGUGCGAAUAUUGAAGAUAUAUAUGAAGUGACCGUAUGUGUUACCGUUUCAUUAACGUGGACAAUGAUUGCAUGUUUAAGAGACAAUAACCAAUUUUUCAGACAUUUGUGAACAAAAUGAAGCAUGUUUAGAGAUCCUUAAUAAAGGUGUACGAAAUGAUGGAUAAAUAAGUUUGUGAAACAAAUUUCACCAUACCUAACCCCACAAUUAUUUGCGGUCGAAUUUCCUCGUCACAGGAAAAAGAGAUGAUGACAAAAGGGCAAAAAUUAAUUAACAAAGUAGAAGAUGCAUGACAACUGUAAAAGAAAAAUAAUGCUACUAAUUAAAUAGUCCAAACUUCAUACGUUUCAUAUCAUAAGUGGCAGUUCUAUUUUUUUUUUGCGAAAGUGAACAAAAUAACGAAUAAUUUUUAAAGUAAUAGUAAUAAGGAGAUGUGUUUUGACAGAAAACGACAUGAGCGGCCUAAAAAUAAGAGGGAAAAAGAUAAUCAUAUAAAUAUGGGUUAAUUGCCUCUAAAUACACCACCUUUCCUUGAAUUCUACAAUUGCACAUCACCUUUAAAAUCCGCCCUUAAAUACACCACCUUUCCUUGAGUUCUACAAUUGCACAUCACCUUUAAAUCCGCCCCAAAAUACAUCAUCUUUAUAUUUUUUCUGUUUUUGCACAUGACUAAAAAAUUCUCAAGAAAUAAAUUAAAGUGUUAAUUUAUAAAUUUAAAUAUCUUUUUAGCAGCGAAAACAUAAUAAAAUAAAAUUCUUUAUAAAGUUUAAAAUCAUAUAUAUAUAUAUAUAUAUAUAAGUAUUUUCGUAAAGAAAUAAAUUCUCUAAUAAAUUUUUAGAAAGAACUUGAAUUAAAAAAAUAAACAAGUCAUGACAUUAAGAAAAUAAAAUGAAAUUUUUAUUUUAAUAAAUUUCACACGAAUUCGAUAUAAUUUGGAAUUUAGAGUUACAAUAAUCAGAAGUACCACAUGAAUAAUAUAAUGAGUUUGAAAGAAAUUUUUUUUAAAGAGGUUCGACACGCCCAUUCGACUUUCCACGCGCCUCCAAUGUCAUUUACCUGAAAUAUUAANUAUAUAAGUAUUUUUCGUAAAGAAAUAAAUUCUCUAAUAAAUUUUUAGAAAGAACUUGAUUAAAAAAUAAACAAGACAUGACAUUAAGAAAAUAAAAUGAAACUUUUAUUUUAAUAAAUUUCACACGAAUUCGAUAUAAUUUGGAAUUUAGAGUUACAAUAAUAAAAAGAACCACAUAAAUAAUAUAAUCAGUUUGAAAGAAAUAUAUAUAUAUUUUUUUAAAGAGGUUCGACGCGCCCAUUCGACUCUCCACGCGCUACCAAUGUCAUUACCUGAAAUACUAAAUAUGGGAUAAGCAUACAUAAUAUACUUAGUGUGGGAACAUGCAAUUAUUGUCCACGUUAAUAAAAUAGUAACACAUACGAUCAUAACAUUCAAAACGACACAAUUUUGCCAAUAUGGAAGCCACGUCAUUUAAAGUGGUAACACCCUAAUCUAACUAAAGUGUUAAAUAUAAAUUUAAAGCGGAAAUAUAAUAAAAUAAAGUUCUUUAUAAAAAUAAAUAAAGAAUUUUAUUUUAUUAUAUUUCCGCUGCUAAAAAAGAUAUUUAAAAUUUAUAAAUUAACACUUUAAUUUAUUUCUUGAGGAUUUUUAAGUCAUGUGCAAAAACAGAAAAAAAAUAUAAAGGUGAUGUAUUUUGGGGCGGAUUUAGAAUUCAAGGAAAUGUGGUGUAUUUAGGGGCGGAUUUUAAAGGUGAUGUGCAAUUGUAGAAUUCAAGGAAAGGUGGUGUAUUUAGGGGAAAUUAACCCUAUAAAUAUUCAAAAUCAAACGGAUUGGCAUGUAUUCAUCAUUUUUUAUUUUUUAUUUUGAUAAUUUAACAGUAUUAAAUAAAGAAAUUUAUAGGCUGCGUCCCUUACUGCUUGGCUUUUAGAUUAUGUUGUAAUAAUAAAAUUAAAAGCACGUUUACAAUAUAAAAUUAAUUAUGAUAAAUACAAUAUAUUAAUAAUAAAUACUCAAUUACCUCUUAACAUAAUUCGCGCAUCAUGGCUUUUAGCUUAUAUUAUAAAGAUAUAAUAUGUUGUCUAUAAUAAUCGACGGAAGGUAAUAGACAACAUGUUUUACUUCUUGUCUAUAAUAAUAUAGACAGUAGAUCUAGUGUUAUAGAUAACAAUUAAUACGUGUUGUCUAUAUGAUGAUAGACACCAAAAAUCUCUGUUGUCUAUUCUAUGACAAAAAAAUUUAAAAAAAUUCUAAUAUAUUUACAUCCCUGUAUUACAAUACCAAUAUAUAUGAAAAAAUAAAAAUAAUUAAAAAUCAAAUAAUCAAACAAUACUUAUAAACCACUAAUACUCACAAUCAAAUAUUUACACAUCAACAAUUGUAUUAUCUUUAAUUACGCCUUCAUUUAUCUACUAAAAAAAAUCUCUAAUAAAAUCUCUAACUAACUCCGGUCAUCAUCUCUUGAAGGCUUAGAAAAUGUCCAAAUACAGCGGCACAUGCUCAUUAUUGUGUGAGCGAUGAGAACUUUGCGCUGAACCUAUAAAGUAACUAUACUUAACUGGUAAAGUAAUUGUAUCCCGUGAAUCUAAAGGAAGAAUAAACACGUUGAUAGAGUUUGAAAGAAAAGAAUAAAGAGAAUGAAAAUCCAAAGAAUUUGCUUCUUCCGUUGAACAAUCCCUACACAACGUUGAAAUAUCAAUGAAAACAAUGGCUAUCCUAUACUCCCUCCAUCCAUGAAAGAACUUCCUAGGAGGGAGUGACACGGGUUUUAAGAAAAAAUAUUGUUAAGUGUAUUGAGAGUGGAUAAAAGGUAGUUGAGUGUAUUGGGAGUGGUGAAAAUGUGUUAUAGUUAAUAUUGAGAGUUGUGAAAAGUGAAAAGUAAGAGGAUUAUAAGUGGUGGGGUAUAGUCCAAAAAUAGGUAGGAAGUUCUUUUGUGGACGUCCCAAAAAGGAAAGAUAUGAAGUUCUUUCGUGGACGGAGGGAGUAUUAUUUUGCAGCAGCAACCACGUUUAAAAACUCGAUCCCUCUAUUCUUGAAUUUGUGAAAUUUCCGACUGAUUUAUUAGAUUCACCAUUUAUUUCAGUUUAAUUAGUCUAUAUAUAGAUAUUUCUUAUAUUAUUAAAUUGUUAACCUCAUGGUAGAUUUCAAGAUUUGAAAAUUCAACAAAGAGCUUGAGAAUUAUAGAGAUUGGAAGGGGAAGAUGAAACAUAGUUGGGUGAAAUUAGAAACCAAUUAAAGUCAGGAGAUUGAAGAAAAACAUAACUUAAAAACACAAAAUAAGCAAAUCGUAGAUGCAGUAUCUUGCAAGAAAAAGUUCAUAUUCCCAAGGCUAUGAUGAGCACGAAUUAGGGUGUGUCUGCAUUUUAUCCCUCUAAAUGGAGGAAUAAUAAAAUUUUAUGCCUUUAAAUGUUUGCUUUCUUAUCACACAUUCUAAACAAACACCAUUUUUUCUUCCUUAUUUUCACUUCAAUGAGGGAUAAUAUUAUCCCUCCAAUUUUGGUGUGAUAAUAUUAUCCCUCCUACAAGUGAAAAUAAGGAAGAAAAAAUGGUACUCCCUUCGUCCCAAACGAAAUGUCCUGUUUUCCUUUUUGGGCUGUCCCAAACGAAAUGUCCUGUUUCCUUUUUUGGCAAUACACUCUCUCUCUAUACUUAAUAUUUAAAUAAUUUUCACCAACCCACUUUAUCUACUUUAUACACAUUUCUUAAUCUCCGUGCCGAAAAGAAAUGGGACAUUUCGUUUGGGACGGAGGGAGUAUUUGUGUAGGAUGUGGGAUAAGAAAACAAACAUUUAAAGACAUAAAUUUUUGUUAUUCCUCCAUUUAGAGGGAUAAAAAGCAAACACACCUUAGAGUCUAAUUACAAUUUAGGCGCAGGCUGUGUGAGAAUUACUUAGUCGAAUAGGAUCCUUAGUAUUUAUAUUUCUCAUGUUCUUGUGUAUUUUUUCACUGAUUCACUAUUGGAUUAACAAGAAUUAUCUUACUUUAAAAAAAAAAAAGAAAUGAUCUUACUUCAUGUAUGGUAUGCCAACUGUUCGAUAAAGGUCCUUUUAGAAAUAUUCCAUAGAUUACCUUGCAAAGACCACAAAACUAGACACACCCUGCAUAGUUUAUACAUAGGGAUGGCCGAUUGAUGAUCGUCUUAUUUGUAGACUUAACGAGAGCAGACUCGAUCGCUUAGUCCUUACUGAUUUACGACACACAUGCACACAUACACAGAUACACACAUCACAAAAUCACGCAAAUUGACGGAUAAUGUUGCCGGCCAGCUCCUUCCUGCUCCACGCCACGGCAUUUUUCUGCACCAUGGUGGCCGUGAAAUACCACGAGACGAUGUCAUGG
rnacentral:lncRNA from 1 species